UACGUAUGGGGCAAGCGUUAUCCGGAUUUACUGGGUGUAAAGGGAGCGUAGGCGGCCUGGCAAGCCUGAUGUGAAAUACCGGGGCCCAACCCCGGGACUGCAUUGGGAACUGCCCUGCUGGAGUGCCGGAGGGGCAGGCGGAAUUCCUAGUGUAGCGGUGAAAUGCGUAGAUAUUAGGAGGAACACCAGUGGCGAAGGCGGCCUGCUGGACGGUGACUGACGCUGAGGCUCGAAAGCGUGGGGAGCAAACAGG
rnacentral:rRNA from 1 species